rnacentral:tRNA from 1 species
ACCGAAAUAGCUCAGUUGGGAGAGCGUUAGACUAUAGAUCGAAGAGUCAGUCCCUGGUUCGAUGCCGGGUUCAGGCA